rnacentral:tRNA from 1 species
UUGGUAACGCAAUGAAUAAUGUGUGUGUGCGUUGGACUUCUAAUCCAAAGGUCGUGGGUUCGAAUCGCACCAGGAAAU